rnacentral:misc_RNA from 1 species
AAGUCGUAACAAGGUAACCGUAGGUGAACCUGCGGUUGGAUCAUUAACAAAAUGAUAAAAGUCUGGGCUCUAAACAAGUCCAGCUUUUAUAAACACCUGUGAACUGUAAUUGUCUCUGGUGGGUUAAAAUUGGAGUUUUAUUAAUUCCUUGGUUUCUUAAAAACAACCACCCACUAUUAUUAACUUGUAUAUCUUGAAUUCUAGUUUUAAUAAUUAAAUUUAUCUAAAAACAACUUUUGACAACGGAUCUCUAGGCUCUC